CCGCCGGAGGUCACUGCUAUUGGAGUUCGAUUAAGCCAUGCGAGUCAACAGUUCUUCGUGAACUAGGCGGACUGCUCAGUAACACGUGGGUAAUCUACCCUCGGGUCAGGGAUAACCCCGGGAAACUGGGAAUAAUUCCUGAUAGGUGAAGAUGUCUGGAAUGAUACUUCGCCUAAAGCUCCGGCGCCCGAGGAUGAGCCUGCGGCCGAUUAGGUUGUUGGCGGUGUAAAGGACCACCAAGCCUGUGAUCGGUACGGGUGUUGAGAGACAUAGCCCGGAGAUGGGGGCUGAGACACGGCCCCAGGCCCUACGGGGCGCAGCAGGCGCGAAAACUACGCAAUGCGCGAAAGCGUGACGUGGGAACUCCAAGUGCCCUGCCUUCGGGUAGGGCUUUUGUUUAGUGUAAGAAGCUGAAUGAAUAAGUGCUGGGUAAGACCGGUGCCAGCCGCCGCGGUAACACCGGCAGCGCGAGUGGUGACCGCUUUUAUUGGGCCUAAAGCGUUCGUAGCCGGUUUGGUAAGUCUCUGGGUAAAUCCUCAGGCUCAACCUGAGGAAUUCCGAAGAUACUGCCAGACUUGGAGUUGAGAGAGGUCAGAGGUACCUCCGGGGUAGGGGUGAAAUCCUAUAAUCCUGGGGGGACCACCAGUGGCGAAGGCGUCUGACUAGAGCAAGCUCGACGGUGAGGGACGAAAGCCAGGGGCGCGAACGGGAUUAGAUACCCCGGUAGUCCUGGCUGUAAACGCUGCGCGCUAGGUGUUACGUCCUCUACGAGGGGGCGUAGUGCCGAAGAGAAGUUGAUAAGCGUGCCGCCUGGGAAGUAUUACCGCAAGGUAGAAACUUAAAGGAAUUGGCGGGGGAGCACCACAA
rnacentral:rRNA from 1 species